UGAUCCAGAAACUGACGACUAAAAUGAAGCCUAAUUUGAAGCAAUAAUGGGUCACAAAGGGAAAAGGUACUCUUCUUCGUCUUCCGAAAUGACCAGUAGUGACUCUUCAAGAGAGAACUCACUCUCUAGAGAUCAAAGGAGAGACAGAGAAGCAGAGAAGAGAAAAUCAAGAGAAAGGAGAAAAAUCAAGGAAAAGAGAAGAAAGCGACAUAGAUCAAGCAGUUCUAGUGGGUCCUCAUCCUCUUCGUCAUCAUCACGAGAAAGGGAUGAUUCAGCUAAACGACGGCGAAAGAAAAAGACCAAGAAAAGGAAGUACUCAUCAUCAGAUAGCAGCAGUAGUAGCUCAUCAGAUUUAGGGAGCAGUGAUUCAGACAGUUCCUCAAGUGAUUCAAGCCUUGAACGACGAAGGAAGAGAAAGAAGCAGAAAGAGAGCAGAAAAGAUAAGAAACAUAAACAGAAGAACAAGAAAAAGAAAAGGAAAUCUUCCAGUGGAAGCGGUCCUGUUAGAUUAUCCCAUUACAUGAAUGAUGAGAAAGAUGUUGCUAGAAGCGUAGUGUCAGGUCAGAAGAUUAAAAUGAAAGUCAGAAAGACAAGCCAGGAUAAAGCACGUGAAAAGAACAGAGAACAAUUGCUCCAGUUUCUGAAUUCAACAAGGAAUUGAGACAAGGCUGAUGACAGUAGAGAUGGAUUAUUGUUUCACUGUACACCAUGUAUCUUUCUUGGGCAAGUGUUGGUCCUGAAAAGGACCACCCAAUCUCGACAUUUUGACAAGUGUUUUUUUGUCGUCCUCAGGUGGUACAUGAUGUACAAUGAAACCUACUACACUAUUGUUCUUCACCAUGGAAACCUUCAGAAGAUGGAUUAUUGAAUAGCUUUAUACAUCGUGAGAAUGAACAUCCCAAAUCAAAAGUGAAGAAGACCUAUAGAGUUUUGAUUUCCUUUAUUCUGAUUGGCUAAGAAGCACUGGAUGUCAGUUCUUUCAUGAAACACUUCCCUGAUGACAUCAGAAAAAGUUUUCACUUGAGACAGGUCACAUUGCUUUCAAUUGGGAGACAAUUUUGGUGGCCACUGGAGACAGGUUUCCAUUGAAGACAGGUUUUAGUGUUUAUAGGAUGCUGUGCUCAAUUUGAAUCUCUUGGGACCUCAAAAAUCUGUUCAACUUUAUAGAAGGGGUAUUCAAACAUCCCACAUUUUGUACAAACUGGACUGAAAAAUUGCUCUGACUUGGAUGAUUAUGUGGAAAUAUACAGAGUUACAGACUUAACUUAUUAAUGUGCCUUCUUGAUUGAAUUGGAUCCUGGCCAUGAUUCACAUCCACUAUAUGUGAUUUUAGGGAACAAUUUAUUCUUUCAGUACCUCAGAUAAGGAAUCAUAAAUUUACAAUUUUGUUGUGUAAUUGCUGUCCAAAUAUGUAACACAAGUAACCAACACAUUUUAGCACAUACAGCAAAAUCAAAAUAUUUUUCUGACUUUAUUGAACAGCUAAACUUGUUUACUAAAUGAUGUGCAUACAUGAUGUUAAAUUAUAGCUCAUGAAGUCAAUGGCCCUUCAAAUGUAACAGAGGUAACCAUGGAAUUUCCCUUUCAUAGUCAGUGUAUGAUACAAGUUGUUCUAUUCAACUGAAAUAAAAAUAUUAAAUGACUUGGGGGAAAAUACAAAGACAGGAACAACUUUAUGUAUAGAUUGUAUUUUGAUGUAUGCAAAUUCAAAAAUUAAUUGAAAAAGAAAUACUUUUCUAUUAGAAAAUACAUGUAUCGAAUUGUACUGAAUUUCAUUUUAAUGUUAAAGUUGACCCUCAUUUCUUACAAUUCCUUUGUGUAAUGUCCCAAUGCAUUAAAUGGCAAGGGCAAUUUUGAAACCUUGCUUAUUAGUUUUAAUGAUAUGAGAAUAGUUUCAUAUUUCCAGAUGCAGUUGUAUCUCAUUUAAAAAGUAAGGAAUUCAUGCAGUUGAUAUAUCACCCUGAAAUAAUUUGAUUCUAGUUUGUUAUGCUUGUAAAAAAUUAGUUAGAUUAGUUGUAUUAGUUAGAUUUCUGGGAAUAGCUUUGAUGAUUCCCAACAUCCUGUCAAUCUCAUUUUCUACAGCUUAAGACCUCAUCUGAAGCGGAAAGAGAAAUUAGAAAACUACCAAUCAAAAAACAUCACAACAAUGCAAUUUUUAUUCAUUUUCACCUUUUGUGAGCGGAGUAUUUUGCUUUUGAAAUUAGUAGGCAUUGGAGACCUUUGAUGUAAUACUGUGUGAGCAUGGUUGAGAUUACAUGUGUCUUUAGUGUACGAGAAAAAAAAAUCCAGAUUAGGGAUUGGAUUUUGCUCACUAUAUCACUUGGAAAUAUCCUGAAAGGUAACCCCUGCUUUAAAAAAUAUGAAACCUUCAGCUCCAGACUAAUUUUUUAUGUGAUUUUUUUUAUUUCCCACUUUAAUAUAUUGCACAACUUUCCUUCUGUAAAUGCAUUCAAAUUCUGUCGUGGAGGUUUCCGGUUCACCAUGUGUAAUGUAAAGGGAUGGAAUUAAGGCUACGAGAUAGGAUGAAAAGAAAUAAGCAUUCUUUCUUGAAAGUGAGUGAAGUCCUGAAAAGGACUGGAAACUAGAUGAGAUGAGCUGAAUAUGGCUUGAGUAGCGAUGGUUUGAGUAGUACCUACUACUACAUCCUGCUACUACUCAAACCAUCUUUACAUUUCACAUGGUGAACCGUAAACCUCCACAUAAACUCCACCAUACAAACCUGCAAAGAUAACCUCAUUCAAAUUCUGUGUUAAAAAUGUUUGCCUGGCAUUUUGAUUUGUCAGUUUCACUUUUCGCUUCAGAUGGGAUCUUUAAUGAUAAAAAGUGUAGGCUAAGCAUCACUGUAAGACAACAAUAAUGAUAAUGAAUUGGAAAUAAAAUUGGUAAAG
rnacentral:misc_RNA from 1 species